CUAAGAGCCUGAAGUCCUCUAUCUAUUCACAGAACAAGUACAACACAAGCAGCAUCUUUGUAGCUUCCCCACACUGACACACUGAUGUUCCUCAAGUGAACAACGGAGAACAGAUGUCAUCUCCCAAAAUGGCCAUUUUGUUCUUUUUCUGCU
rnacentral:sRNA from 1 species